AUGAAUGAUUAAAUUUGUAAAAUUGAGUAGUAAAUUAAUAGAGCAAGCAAUUCUACUCUAAUUUAUUUGUGUUUAUACAACACUGCUUCAUCUUUGAUCAUCAUAGUUCAUGAACACUGUUCUUAACAAAAAAACCGUUGAACCCAUGCUUCAUCAACGGGUUCGCAGACGAAGUGACAAUAACCGCCAGAAACUCAGACACAACUUUCAGGUCAAGGGUUUGAACCAAGAACAAUAUUGCUAUUUGCGAGUUGAACAGGUACCGUUGCAAAUUUAUGUAUGAGUUUCUCUAAGAGUAUGGAAAUGAUAACGAUAACCGCACAAACCGCAGCGACAGCCCAUGUAGGAGUCACAUCUAGCUGCCGGUCGUCACCGCCUCCUCCUCCCGCCAUAUAUGUUGUUUAACAAAUGAAAAUUAUGAUGACGAUUAAGAUAAUUGUAAUGGUGAUUAUUUAUGAGGGGUUGUUUAGAUUGUGAGUUUUGUAUGAAUAAAAGAACAUGUAGGACAAAAAUUGUUUGAUGACAUCUUCGUGCAUUAAUUCGAUUGUGAUCAUGCAAAUAUAGUGAUCAAAAUUGUUUUUUUA